UCUUGGUCUUAGAAAAUAUGAUUUUAUCAAGAUGAAGUCUUUGAAAAAUAAGGUGUGGCUGCCACCUUCCAAUCACUAGAUUUUCUUUUAUGGGAUAAAAAAACAGUAAAUUACUCCAUAGAGUACAUGGCAAUGAUUAACGCGUGUUAAGGGUGUAGUUGUUGGGGUCUCCAUUGACAAAGCCACCAUGGUGGUGAUGAACCUUGAUGGUGAAAGUGUUUCAAGAUGAUAAUGACAACACACAGUAGCCAAGUGACAUGGAGGAUGGAGAGGGAUGGAAAGUUGGUGAUGGCUUUGGAAAAAAGGCAGAGCUUUAUUUGUGGCAGUGUAUGGUAGUGCUCGACUAAGUGUUUCAUGGCUCUGCUUCUUCUUCAUGCUAGCAUUGAUGUUCAUCAUUUGUCCUCUACUUUUUCAGUUUGGGUGUUAGAUUGGAAGGCAGCAACACACCAGCUUUUUGGAUAUAUAGUCGCCUUGAUGCCCUACUCUCGAUUCAGUUCAUAUGGCUGAUUUCUAUAGUUUUAAUCUAUGAGCAAUUUAAAUGCAGUCUGCUUAGAAGUUGAGAUGAGAAGAUGAAGGCUUAAGCUGAAGCAGACCAUGGAAAUGUACAGCAGUACAGCUUGCAAAGAAGCACUUUCUGCAAAAACGAAAGUAGUUCCAUUUCAUCAUCUACUACACGAAAAGUUUGAAAGAAGUUCGCUGUCAUUGAACUCAAUCCUGCAUUUGAACAUGGACUCAGUUGGCUCAGGAAGGAACUUAACUGAAGAUAUCAAUGUCUCACAAUUGAAGAUAUCAACGUCUCCAAAGAUUACCCCUGCGAAGUGCGGGCAUCAAAUCUAAGUGUAUAUAUAUAUAUUUAUAUAAAGGUUCAUAAAAUUUUCUUCA